GCGGGCGUGGCGCAACGGUAGCGCAGCAGCUUCCCAAGCUGAAGGUUACGGGUUCGAUUCCCGCCGCCCGCUCCA
rnacentral:tRNA from 1 species